UUUUUCCUAUAGUCUCAUACAAUUGAGAUACACAAAAACCGAAAAAAGGAUGCCUUCAUAAUACUGUGGUCUGAGUUUCUGAGUGCAUUUAUAAAGAAAAGUCUGAGAUUUGGAUAAUCAGGAGGUUGUUCUGGUGUUGUUGCUGGUGGUGGGUGUCAGGGGCUCUGUGCCUCAGCACAUAUGUGUAUGUCAGAGGGCACCAAUUCUCUCAUCCCACCUUUACUGGGCUCCAGGAAGAGAACUCAAGCUGUAAGGCUUGGGCAGUGGGUAAUUUACCCAGCAAAGCCAUCUCAUUGGCCCAGAUGGUUUGUUUGUUUUGUAAGCUAUAGAAAAUAUGUUUUUACACACUUAUUUCUUGGUUUUUUAUUUCUACAGCAUACAUUAGUCUAGUCAUCAUUAUUCUUUUUAUAAUUUGCCAGGAACUAGGGUUAUCUGGUUAUCUAUUUCCUAUUUUCAUAUUAGGAAAAAGGAAUAAUUAGUACAAUACUUUAGCCGGAGUUUACAUUCUAACACAGCCUCUUGUAUUAGUUCAUUUAAGUUCUUCCAGAUUCGAUUAGAAAAAUGCUCUGGCACUCCUGAACCUGUUAUUUUAAGUUGUUUGAGUUUUGGUGAUAUCGUGAUUUAACUCUUGAGUUUUUAUUUCACUUGUUUCUAGAACAGUGUCUCCCUAUAUAGGCCUCAAGGUUGUUCUGCAUAGUCUUGCAAAUAUUUAUAUUACUGGCAUGUGAUACUAUGCACAGCCAAUAAUCACUUUUAAUAAGUCUACUGUCUUUCUUUGCAGGCCAUUUUUGGGCUCCCAGAAUAUGUACUCUGUCUUCAUUCAGCUCCUGUCAAGUGGGUCAGCUUGGUUUGCCAUACUCCUUAUGGUUGUUUCUUGUCUCUUUGUUGAUGUUGUGAAGAAAGUGUUUGAUCGACAGCUUCAUCCUACAAGUACACAAAAGGCACAGGUAGGCAUCUCUUCAGUUAGAACAGUUAGUAAUGAGUAACUAAUUACACAUUUUUUGUAUUACAAAAUGCCUAUUCCUAUAUUAAAGAGUUUUUC
rnacentral:lncRNA from 1 species